CGUUGCUUCCUCCUUCUUCACUGUUCACCAAAUCGCAGCCCUCUGCUCAGCCCUCUGCGUUGCUUCCUCCUUCAUCACUCAUCAGCCUCCUCUGCGUUGCUUCUUCCUUGUUGUUCGGUGCAGCUGAAAUGAAAACGCAACGGCGAGGCAAGUGACUUUUUCGAAGAGAAGAAGAGGAUUAAUCAAAAAGGCUGAAGAACUCUCAGUUUUGUGUGAUGCUGAUGUUGCUCUCAUCAUUUUCUCUUCUACUGGCAAGCUCUUUGAAUACUCUAACUUAAGGGGAUAGUAUUAUAAGCAUAGAGACUAGUGAUUAGUAUUUAAACUUGAGCCAACAAUUUAAAGAUGGCAAAUGAAGGUACCUCUCAACCACAAUGUCCACUCAUUUCUCAAGGAAGUACACAUCAUCCAACUCUAAAUGGACAAGAAAGUUCACAUCAACCAACUCCAAAUGGACAAGAAAGUUCACAUCAACCAACUCCAAAUGAAAGUGCUAACCCGUCAAUUGUUGCUCCUACUCCCACAACAACCGAUACUAUGGAGGUUGAUAGUGCAGCAACACAAAACCGUCCAAAAAGGCGUAGAAGUGAAGUUUGGGAUCAUUUUGAAAAGAUCAUUGUUGAUGGAAAAGUUAAGGCUAGAUGUAAUUAUUGCAAGAAAGAUCUUGGUGGAUCAUCAAAUGACGGGACAUCACACUUAAAAGGACAUUUAUUGAUUUGUCCUCACAAGAAGAUUUUGGAAGGUAAAACGGAUAAAGGACAGACAUUUCUUACUGCUAAAACUUUGCAAGGUAAACAAGAGUUGGGUACUUGGAGUUAUAAUGUUGAAAAUGUUAGGAAAGAGCUUGCACAUGCAAUUAUUUUGCAUGAAUAUCCACUUUCGAU